UGGACUACGGGACGCAGCAGUGAGGAAUAUUGGUCAAUGGGCGGAAGCCUGAACCAGCCAAGUCGCGUGAGGGAAUAAGGCCCUACGGAUUGUAAACCUCUUUUGCCGGGGAGCAAGCGUGCGUUCGUGAACGCGCGUCGAGAGUACCCGGAGAAAAAGCAUCGGCUAACUCCGUGCCAGCAGCCGCGGUAAUACGGAGGAUGCGAGCGUUAUCCGGAUUUAUUGGGUUUAAAGGGUGCGUAGGCGGGAUGCCAAGUCAGCGGUAAAAAUGCGGUGCUCAACGCCGUCGAGCCGUUGAAACUGGC
rnacentral:rRNA from 1 species